GGGAGACCCAGGGGGAGGGGAGGGAAGUGGAAGGUUCGGUUCCGUCGCCGCGACGCGCAUGGGCGCCGCGUCCUUCCGCCCUGCGGUGGGGGCGCGGGGCACGUUGUGGGAAGGCGGAGGUCGCGUUCCGUGCCGGGCCCGGCUUUGGGCCUGUGGAAAGGUGUUUUGAGAACGCGGGAGCCGCCGGGGCAUCGUAACUGAAGGCAGACCCUGUUCUAAAGGAGCACAGUUUUGGAAGAAGAGGAAGUGUCAGGAUCAAUUUCAAACUGAUCCAUCAUGACUAUGUCGACGCACUCAGAGACCUCAAGGAAUACGGAAGCCAUAGUCUGCGACCAAUGGAACCGUGUCACCUGGUUAACACGCCAUUGUUUUACCAGCCUAAUCAGUGGAGACAGCAAAACUGGAGUCAAGCUUGUGAAGAUAACCUGAGCCGACGCUGGCAAAGAAGCCAGAAUUCCCAAGCUUUCCCAGGCGAGUGUGGAGAAACACCAGGACGCCUUUUUCUCCCCGCACCCCCCGCCCCGUCCCAUCUGCAGCCAAGUGUGCCUCGGUCAAAGGCAAACUCUGAAUCAAGCUUUGUGCUGGUCUCUGGAAGGAUACCCGGGAUCAUGUGACGGAGAAAAGUGACAGCGGCGGUGGUGGCAGUGACAUCUGUGGGGCUAGCCCCGUCCCUAUCUGCCGCGGGAUGCGUGUGGGCAUGCUUUGUGAGAAGCAUCCACCCCGGGUAGAAUGGGGCUUUUGACAUCAGCUGAGGCCUGGGCUGCCUCACAAUGAGGCCUGUUGGUCAAAGGGAGACUGUUUAAUGAAGUGCCCGCCAGAGGCCAGCUCCGGCCAUCUGUACUGGGGACCUUCGGAGCGAGCCUUCCCUGUAACCGGCUACAUGUGCGAAAGCACGUUGCCUUUCACAGAAGGCAGCUGCGACAAUAAAUUCAUAUUCCCAAACGGUGA